GUGGGAUCCGCCGCGUCCUUUCUCUGUCCGCGCCACCGCCGCCGUCUCCGGGGGCCCCCGCGCGCGCUGCUCCGGGUGCUCUCGCUUACCGCUGCCCAGGAAACUGACGGAGCAGUAGCGCGGCGGCGAGGCUCGGAGCCAGGCGAGUCAGCUGAUCCGGCCCACCCCGCUCGGCACUCGAGAGGGACCCCUAGCGGCGCCGCCGGGUAGCUGCGCCCGCUCGCGCCGGGAGGGGCCCGCGCCCCGCGCCCACAGGUGCAGCGCCCUAGGCGCCGCCAGCACUCCACGCGCCCCCCUCAGCUCCCCGGCCGACGGCCCACCUGGGCUUCCGGAACGGUGGGAGGGAGAGUCUGGGGUCAGGAGAGGGACGGUGCAGGAUCAGGGAAAGUUUGAAGAUCAUUCAACUCAACAGAAAAAAAAAAAAAAGAAAGGAAAAGAAAUGGAAGAGAUCAACUUUCUCUCUGUCCUGUAAAGAUCUGCUGGGCAGGCCUGAGCUGAGAAAUGAGGGAAGGCAGACAUAUGUAUGAGCACCUAUGCAGAGAGAUACAGGAUCUCACUCUGUUGUGGGAGCACAGUGGCAAAUCAUGCAUUAUUCACUGCAGACUUGAACUCCUGACCUCAAGUAAUCUUUCUACCUUAACCUCCCAAAGUGCUGGGAUUACAGGG